AAGACCUUUUUGCUGAAUCUUUUGAGCGGGGGAACCAAUUUUGAUAAAGCUACUUUAUCUUGGGGUGAAUUUUAGCGAAUGAAGCUAAAAAGGGAUACUCUCAUUCCCUAAUCCGACAGCUAACUCCGUAAGCCGUGAAGAGAGAAGGG
rnacentral:sRNA from 2 species